GACGAACGCUGGCGGCGUGCUUAACACAUGCAAGUCGAACGGAAAGGCCCUGCUUUUGUGGGGUGCUCGAGUGGCGAACGGGUGAGUAACACGUGAGUAACCUGCCCUUGACUUUGGGAUAACUUCAGGAAACUGGGGCUAAUACCGGAUAGGAGCUCCUGCUGCAUGGUGGGGGUUGGAAAGUUUCGGCGGUUGGGGAUGGACUCGCGGCUUAUCAGCUUGUUGGUGGGGGAGUGGCUUACCAAGGCUUUGACGGGUAGCCGGCCUGAGAGGGUGACCGGCCACAUUGGGACUGCGAUACGGCCCAGACUCCUACGGGAGGCAGCAGUGGGGGAUAUUGCACUAUGGGCGGAAGCCUGAUGCAGCAACGCCGCGUGCGGGAUGACGGCCUUCGGUUUGUAAACCGCUUUCGCCUGUGACGAAGCGUGAGUGACGGUACUGUGUAAAGAAGCACCGGCUAACUACGUG
rnacentral:rRNA from 1 species